rnacentral:rRNA from 1 species
CCUACGGGAGGCAGCAGUGAGGAAUAUUGGUCAAUGGGCGCGAGCCUGAACCAGCCAAGUAGCGUGAAGGAUGACUGCCCUACGGGUUGUAAACUUCUUUUAUAAAGGAAUAAAGUGAGGCACGUGUGCCUGUUUGUAUGUACUUUAUGAAUAAGGAUCGGCUAACUCCGUGCCAGCAGCCGCGGUAAUACGGAGGAUCCGAGCGUCAUCCGGAUUUAUUGGGGUUAAAGGGAGCGUAGAUGGGGUGUUAAGUCAGUUGGGAAAGUCUGCGGCUCAACCGGAAAAUUGCAAUUGCUACUGGCAGCCUUGAGUACAGUUGAGGUAGGCGGACUUCGUGGUGUCGCGG